GCUUAGGCUUUUGCUCUAUAUUUCUAUACCAUGAACUCUUUAUUUGAUCUUACAUGUGUGUUAUAUGCAUUAUGCAGGUGACAAGGAAGUUAUGGAGGGGCUGAAUGUUGGUCUAGAUGGUAUGCGAGUUGGAGAUAAAAGAAGACUCAUCAUUCCACCGUCAAUGAGCUCGGGGUAUAAAGGAACCGGUGAGAAUGUACCCCCAAAUUCGUGGCUGGUAUAUGAUGUAGAAGUAACUAGCAUCCAUUGAUCGUUCUCAUAUAUACUUACGUUGAAUGCAUACAAGUUCAGAAGAAUGCGAAAGAGUUUGCGAUGGAUGUGGAUCCAAAAAGUUUUGUUCGUUGUAUUGUUUCUGGGUCGAUCAAUUGUUUGUUUUUGUAAGAAUGAGUCGAGAAACAUCUGUACGGGAACUUUUGUUAUGGUUUGCUGUAAUUCUGGACUUGAAUGGUAAUGAAAUGCCCUUUUCUUCCAAUGUUCUGAGCAAAACUCGAUUCCCUUCAGCUGGUAAGUUUUAUUAUAUUACUUUGGAUCAAAAUUUCUUGAUCUGCUAAUGGAGGUCAUGCAAGCAUUUAUUGGGUAUUACAUGAAGGCCUUUACAAAUUUGU